rnacentral:lncRNA from 10 species
GCCAGCUGCCAUGUUCUGAGUACUCUCUGGAAGGGCCUGCAUGGCAAGGAACUGAUGUUUCCAGCCAGCAGCCAGCAAGAACUGCAAGCCUUGUGAAUGAGCUUGGAAGCAGAUCCUCCCCUCACUCAAGCCAUGAUAUGACAACAGCCUGAGACCCAGAGGAUGAAGGAGCCGAGGAAGACAGACAGAAUGUGGGAGAGGCUGGAGCUGGCUGAGAAGCAAAGACAAGGGGGACACAGAGGGACAAGCCACCCUGUCCCUGAGAAUUCCCCAGUUUUCUGGCCAAUUUGGGUGAAACCCAGCAACUCUUUGUGUUCCAUCCGUCGAUACUGUGAGGUCUCUCUAUACACUCAGUAAAUGCUCCUUUUUACCUCACUGGACUAAUGCUUUUUAGAGUCACAUGCAUGCUGACUUCAACAAAGCAAAUUGUUUAUCUGAAUCAACUCUGCCGUGUACCAUGUCCAGUCACUUGAAUUUCUAUUUCAUCUUUGACUCUCCAUUUGCUAAUUAUGACUUUGGGCAAAUCUUUUGUUCACUCUGUGUAUUUGUCCAUUUUCACAUUGCUGUAAAGAUACUGUUGAGACUGGUAUCUUUAUAAACUGGUAAUUUAUAAACAAAA